GACGAACGCUGGCGGCGUGCUUAACACAUGCAAGUCGAACGGACUAUUUCAUUUCGGUGGGAUGGUUAGUGGCGAACGGGUGAGUAACGCGUAGACAACCUACCUCUUAGAUGGGGACAACAUCGCGAAAGCGGUGCUAAUACCGAAUGAAGUGACUUUCCUGCAUGGGAGAGAUACUAAAGGUGGCCUCUAUUUAUAAGCUACCACUGAGAGAUGGGUCUGCGUCUGAUUAUCUAGUUGGCGGGGUAACGGCCCACCAAGGCGACGAUCAGGAGCCGGUCUGAGAGGAUGAACGGCCACACUGGAACUGAGACACGGUCCAGACACCUACGGGUGGCAGCAGUCGAGAAUUUUUCUCAAUGGACGAAAGUCUGAAGGGGCGACGCCGCGUGGGGGAUGAAGGGCUUCGGUCCGUAAACCCCUGUCAUUUGCGAACAAGCCUUACUAUUGAACAUUUAGUGAGCUGAUUGUAGCGAAAGAGGAAGGGACGGCUAACUCUGUGCCAGCAGCCGCGGUAA
rnacentral:rRNA from 1 species